rnacentral:rRNA from 1 species
CCUACGGGAGGCAGCAGUGGGGAAUUUUCCGCAAUGGGCGAAAGCCUGACGGAGCAACGCCGCGUGAGGGAUGAAGGCCUCUGGGCUGUAAACCUCUUUUAUCAAGGAAGAAGAUCUGACGGUACUUGAUGAAUAAGCCACGGCUAAUUCCGUGCCAGCAGCCGCGGUAAUACGGGAGUGGCAAGCGUUAUCCGGAAUUAUUGGGCGUAAAGCGUCCGCAGGCGGUCUUGUAAGUCUGUCGUUAAAGCGUGGAGCUUAACUCCAUUUCGGCGGUGGAAACUACAAGACUAGAGUGUGGUAGGGGCAGAGGGAAUUCCCGGUGUAGCGGUGAAAUGCGUAGAUAUCGGGAAGAACACCAGUGGCGAAGGCGCUCUGCUGGGCCAUAACUGACGCUCAUGGACGAAAGCUAGGGGAGCGAAAGGGAUUAGAUACCCCUGUAGUCCUAGCCGUAAACGAUGAACACUAGGUGUCGGGGGAAGUCGACCCCCUCCGGUGUCGUAGCUAACGCGUUAAAGUGUUCCGCCUGGGGAGGUACGCGACGCAGUGUGAACUACAAAUAGAAGUUAGACGGCGUGAGACGUGCCGAACGGACGACGACGAGGGGAGGUAGG